AUAAAAAAAUAAAAAUAAAAAUACUUAUCGUAAGCUGAAUCAUGAUCUAUUCUUGAUGGUUUUCCUCUAACAAUAAAUCAAGCUGUGAGCAAUUUCCUUGUGGUCAAGAGAGAUUGUUAUGCCUUACAAUCUAUUAAAUAUUAAGUUUUCUUCACUGAAGUGAAAAGGAAUGGAUUUUUUAAACUGGGAAGAUUAUGACCCUGAUCAUCUUCUUGUAUUUCAAUCGAAAGAGAAGAAAAAGGUGUUGUGGUAGUAUGGGACAACAGAAUUUUGCUUGCUACUACGAAGCCUAGAUGUUCUCUAUUUUUGCUGCAACUCAUCUAAUACCAAUCAAGGAACAUCCCCAUGUCAAAGAUACCCUUCCAAAACCCAAGGGUUAGUAGGCCUGGGUUUCAAUUUUUUUUUCCUUCUAACAAUGUUUAUUUCCCAAUUUGUCUAGAUAAUAGUACUCUUAAUCUAAUUUUCCCAAUCGUUAAAUACACCAGUCACCAAGGACUACUUUUGUUCUCUUUGAUUCUCUUUUGGGCAGAUAAUAUCUUUCUCUAAUGUUUUUCUCCAACCCAAAUUAGGUGACCAACCAGUAUUACAUUAAUGUCACUUUCUCUCUCUGUCUAGUAGUAAGAAAAUAUCAUAUUCUCUCUAGUACUCAUGCCCUUUAUGAUAUGUGCUCAGAUUUGGCUUGAUUGUUUGUGUUCUCAGGAAAUAUUGGAACAGGCUAUUGGCAUUGACUUGGUUGUCAAUCUAAAGCUCCAGGAAGAUGUAUUGCCUAAGAAAUGUCCUCAAAGAAGAAUUUGCAGUGAGUUUGGGAAAUUUCAAUAUGGCCUCCACUAACAUCAAGGGUGGAAAUUGGAAUCCUGGUAUUAGCUGGCUCCACUUAUUCCCCAGCCACAUUGUAUGUUGAAUCUCAUUCUUGGUCAGAUGAUACUGAAGCCGUAGUAAAAGAACAGAGUCAGCUGUGGAGGACUUUUAUCGUAGUCAAGGAAAAUUAUAGGAGUUUCACCUGCCAAGAGAGUUCCCAGAAUCCUGGCCAAAAUUGCUGGAAGCUCUCGAUCUUAAUGACAAUGAAGAGAAGCAGUCUGCUGCACCACUGCAACAUAAGCUAUUUUACUGUACCUUUGAAGCUGACCGAGCUGGUUGACUCGAGUAUUGCCAAGCUGCAG